rnacentral:rRNA from 1 species
GGACUACUGGGGUAUCUAAUCCCGUUUGCUCCCCUGGCUUUCGCGCCUCAGCGUCAGAAGUGGACCAGUAUGCCGCCUUCGCCACCGGAGUUCCUAUCGAUAUCAACGCAUUUCACCGCUCCACCGAUAGUUCCGCAUACCCCUGCCACCCUCGAGACACCCAGUAUCCGAGGCAGUUCCACAGUUGAGCUGUGGGAUUUCACCCCGGACUUGAGCACCCGCCUACGCGCCCUUUAAGCCCAGUGAUUCCGAACAACGUUCGCUCGGUUCGUCUUACCGCGGCGGCUGGCAC